ensembl:lncRNA
AUGAUGUCAUCAUCUUUGGAUCUUAGGUUCUCUUUGCUGUCUAUCCCAACAUGCACACCUCAUUGCUCUUCCUGUUAUAUCUCUCAAGAAUGCUUCUUUCUCAUGAUGAAUGUUCAUGUAUUAGCCUGUCAGCCAGAUGGACAGCAGAAGUCUUUAAUCUCUCCCUCUCUCACUCUCUCUCUCAGCCCAGUUCCCCCUCCUGCCGCAGGAGUCUUUGUGGAGCCCGUCAGUCAGGUCAUCAGAGAGACAUUCAGCACAGACACGGAGCAGAAGAUUUAUAGCUGUGAGAUCAUGGGCUGCUUGAGGAAAGAGGAACAAGAAAACCAGAAAGCACCUACUGAGAAGUACUCAAAGAGAUUUAAUAAACAGAAGUAAAACACUGAACUGAAAUACUGUGAAAUACUGUGCACAAUGUUAAAGAAAGUUCAUAAAUUUGGUCCCUUCAUACUUUGGGACAUAUGCCAAAGAACAUAAUCUAAAGCUGAUUUUAUAUCGAUAUGUACUGUAGGGUGGGCUACAUUUUUAUGUUCACUCAGGAUUCACUCAUCAGCAUUUGGAAACCAUGACUUUUCUCUGACUGGUGUGGUGAGCAAGUCAUUUUUUUGUGUGUGGAUUCCUUUUGUGUCACGUUGCAUGAGAGCAUAAAUGAACAAAACAGAAAUAAAAUAUGGAAUCGUCUUGAUUUCA